GAUGAACGCUGGCGACGUGCCUAAUACAUGCAAGUCGAGCGAACAGAUAAGGAGCUUGCUCCUUUGACGUUAGCGGCGGACGGGUGAGUAACACGUGGGUAACCUACCUAUAAGACUGGGAUAACUUCGGGAAACCGGAGCUAAUACCGGAUAACAUUUGGAACCGCAUGGUUCUAAAGUGAAAGAUGGUUUUGCUAUCACUUAUAGAUGGACCCGCGCCGUAUUAGCUAGUUGGUAAGGUAACGGCUUACCAAGGCGACGAUACGUAGCCGACCUGAGAGGGUGAUCGGCCACACUGGAACUGAGACACGGUCCAGACUCCUACGGGAGGCAGCAGUAGGGAAUCUUCCGCAAUGGGCGAAAGCCUGACGGAGCAACGCCGCGUGAGUGAUGAAGGGUUUCGGCUCGUAAAACUCUGUUAUUAGGGAAGAACAAAUGUGUAAGUAACUGUGCACGUCUUGACGGUACCUAAUCAGAAAGCCACGGCUAACUACGUG
rnacentral:rRNA from 1 species